rnacentral:rRNA from 1 species
UUUUAUGGAGAGUUUGAUCCUGGCUCAGGAUGAACGCUGGCGGCGUGCCUAAUACAUGCAAGUCGAGCGAACGGACGAGAAGCUUGCUUCUCUGAUGUUAGCGGCGGACGGGUGAGUAACACGUGGAUAACCUACCUAUAAGACUGGGAUAACUUCGGGAAACCGUAGCUAAUACCGGAUAAUAUUUUGAACCGUAUGGUUCAAAAGUGAAAGACGGUCUUGCUGUCACUUAUAGAUGGAUCCGCGCUGCAUUAGCUAGUUGGUAAGGUAACGGCUUACCAAGGCAACGAUGC